rfam:Lepisosteus oculatus unplaced genomic scaffold TNK6, whole genome shotgun sequence.
AGGUCUGGUUUCUCUCUUCCGAUCGUAUAGAUCUUUCGCGUUUUACUAAAGGUUUCCGUGGAGAUGAACAGGAUGAGAUUCAGCUGAUUUUUGUGUUUGCUCACUUUUCAUUUUU